UGGCUGGUUCGUCUCUGAAUAAAAAGAUGAAUCUAUAAGAUUCAUCUUAAAAAAUGUUUACAGAGUUAUAUAUCACAGUCUAAUGUAAGUAUACAAUAAUCGAUUAUUCGUGUUGUAAUUUAAUUCCGUGUAAGGUUUCAUCGUUGUUCCGUCUCGUUCAGUGUGUCAUUGUAUCGGUUCAUUGGUUUACAUCUAGGUGGCGGUAAUCACGACAAAGCGAUAGCGAAUAGUGUUCUCACAUCGGCCGCGAGAUGGCAGGUGGCUCGCAAUGUUGGUUGUCCGUUGCUAGGGAGAACUGUCAAAAUAAAACUAGGAAAAUAUUAUUAUUUACAUCGAUGCAGAUAGAAAAGACAGGGAAAUUUUUUAUUUCAAAACUAAAUGGUUUUAGUUGAAACAUUAUUUGCUUUCAAAAGCAAACGAUUAACAGGUCUGUGUCACUUCUGUCGCCACGUGAUUGGGCCCCACUAUAGCAGCACGACUGUUAAACACGCGGAAAAAAGAGAACAAUGCGGAUCAGCCGAAACAAUAGGCAGAGAUCAAGAUUGAAAAAGCACUGGAGCGAAUGGGAGAACACGUCUGCACUGGACGAGUAUAAACUG